GGCCUACUGGGCUUUAACUGACGCUCAGGCACGAAAGCAUGGGUAGCAAACAGGAUUAGAUACCCUGGUAGUCCAUGCCGUAAACGAUGAUUACUAGGUGUGGGGGGACUGACCCCCUCCGUGCCGCAGUUAACACAAUAAGUAAUCCACCUGGGGAGUACGGCCGCAAGGUUGAAACUCAAAGGAAUUGACGGGGGCCCGCACAAGCAGUGGAGUAUGUGGUUUAAUUCGAAGCAACGCGAAGAACCUUACCGGGGCUUGACAUCCUGAGAAUCUGCCAGAGAUGGCGGAGUGCCCUUCGGGGAAUUCAGAGACAGGUGGUGCAUGGUUGUCGUCAGCUCGUGUCGUGAGAUAUUGGGUUAAGUCCCGCAACGAGCGCAACCCUUGCUUUUAGUUGCUACGCAAGAGCACUCUAGAAGGACUGCCGUUGACAAAACGGAGGAAGGUGGGGACGACGUCAAAUCAUCAUGCCCCUUAUGUCCCGGGCUACACACGUACUACAAUGGCCGUCAACAGAGGGAAGCAAAGGAGCGAUCCGGAGCAAACCCCUAAAAACGGUCCCAGUUCAGAUUGCAGGCUGCAACUCGCCUGUAUGAAGUUG
rnacentral:rRNA from 1 species